UACGUAGGGGGCAAGCGUUGUCCGGAUUUAUUGGGCGUAAAGAGCGUGUAGGCGGCUUGGUAGGUCUGCUGUGAAAACUCGGGGCUCAACCCCGAGACGUCGGUGGAAACCACCUGGCUAGAGUCCGGAAGAGGAGACGUGGAAUUCCUGGUGUAGCGGUGAAAUGCGCAGAUAUCAGGAGAAUACCGGUGGCGAAGGCGGCUCUGGUC
rnacentral:rRNA from 1 species